rnacentral:rRNA from 1 species
CGGGGUGCAGCAGGCGCGAAACCUUAGCAAUGUGCGAAAGCACGACUGGGUCAGUCCGAGUGAUUCCUGAUAAAGGAGUCUUUUGCUUGUCCUAAAAGCACAGGUGAAUAAGGGGUGGGCAAGUCUGGUGUCAGCCGCCGCGGUAAUACCAGCACCUCGAGUGGUCAGGACGUUUAUUGGGCCUAAAGCAUCCGUAGCCGGCUCUGCAAGUCUUCGGUUAAAUCCACCUGCUCAACAGAUGGGCUGCUGGAGAUACUACAGAGCUAGGGAGUGGGAGAGGCAGACGGUAUUCAGUGGGUAGGGGUAAAAUCCUCUGAUCCAUUGAGGACCACCAGUGGCGAAGGCGGUCUGCCAGAACACGUUCGACGGUGAGGGAUGAAAGCUGGGGGAGCAAGCCGGAUUAGAUACCCGGGUAGUCCCAGCUGUAAGCGAUGCAAACUCGGUGAUGCAUUGGCUUAUGGCCAAUGCAGUGCCGCAGGGAAGCCGUUAAGUUUGCCGCCUGGGAAGUACGGACGCAAGUCUGAAACUUAAAGGAAUUGGCGGGGGAGCACACNAAAGCCGGGAAUGAU